GAUUUUCUCACUCGUAUCUAUAAUUCUUGUCUUAGAUUCGUCAAGAUAUGGAUGUAUCUAAUACUAAAAUGUAACUUGAUACAUCCGUAUUUAGACAAAUUUAAGACAAGAAUUUUGGGACGGAGGGAGUAAUAU
rfam:Triticum aestivum genome assembly, contig: Triticum_aestivum_CS42_TGACv1_scaffold_080252_1DS